rfam:Canis lupus familiaris chromosome 29, whole genome shotgun sequence.
GUGCUUGCUUCGGCAGCACAUAUACUAAAAUUGAACGAUACAGAGAAGAUUAAGCAUGGCCCCUGCGCAAGGAUGACAUGUAAAAAUAUGAUUCCUAAACUAGUUUC